rnacentral:lncRNA from 1 species
AUGCUGACCUUCAAUUAAUUGUUGAAGCAUUAAAUCUUGAAUAAAAGUAUUUCGGCUGGUGGAGUCUUGUGUUUUGAAGUCAUGAAGGUAGGUGUAAAUACUACUAAAAUAAUUAUGUUUCAUAAUGUUUUAUAUAUGUGUGGUGCUAAUGGCUCUAUAUAAUUUUCUGAUGAAGUAUAUAUCGCCAGGCAUGUUCAUAUGGUAUUUUGUCUGAAUAAGUAAUGUUGUUUUGUAUGGCUAUCUGUUGUCUGGGUAUGUGAGUUGCUCUAAGAGCUCUCUUCUCUUCUUUUUUUUUUUUCUUUUUUUUUAAAAAAAAUGAAAAGAAAGAAAGAUGGGAAUAAAAAAUUAUAUUUUUUUAACAUUAUGGAAGGGGUGUCUGGAGUCUGGUCCAUUUGAGCGAUAAUGCGGGAAUGCUCAACGAGUUGGAUUCGAGCAAAUUUUUAAAAAAUUCAAAACCCCAAUCUGAGAACUUCGAACCUAAACUCGAACCCAACGUGAUUUAAAACUCAUAUUCAAAACUGAAGCUAAUCGAAUAUGACCAAAAACCUAAAACCCAAACACAUGCAUUUCAAAAUUCCACAUAA